rnacentral:rRNA from 1 species
AUGAACGACUUGCUAGAUAAAGAAUAUAUAGCCGAGGAAGUCAAAAAGGCACUCUUUGAUAUGGCCCCUUCAAAGGCCCCAGGAGUCGAUGGCUUCACGGCUGGUUUUUACCAGCGACAUUGGGAUGUGCUUGGCGAUGACAUCUCUCAUGCCGUCUUGGAGUUUUUGAACGGUGGUGGGCUACCAAUGGGACUGAAUGAUACUGCUAUCACCUUGAUCCCUAAGGUAAGGAAUCCACAGAAAAUAUCCCAGUUCCGUCCUAUUGCUCUCUGCUCGGUCUUAUAUAAAAUUGCAGUUAAGGCGAUUGUAAACCGCCUGAGACUCAUCCUAUAUGAGAUAAUAGGCGAGGAACAGAGGGCUUUCGUCCCUGAACGCUUGAUCAUUGACAACGUCCUCAUAGCGUAUGAGAGUAUACACACUAUCAGGAGAAGGAAGAAAGGGAAAAAUUCUUGUUGUGCCGUCAAACUCGAUAUGCUGAAGGCUUAUGAUAGAGUAGAGUGGCACUAUCUUGAAGCUAUGCUCAACAAGCUAGGCUUCAAUGAUCAAUUCAUCAAAUUGGUGAUGAAAUGUGUAACUUCGGUCAGAUUCACAAUCAAAGUCAAUGGAGAGCUUCUUCCCUUUUUUGAUCCCUCCAGAGGCUUACGUCAAGGCUGCCCGCUAUCACCUUAUUUGUUUCUCAUUUGUGCACAGGGCCUCACCUUACUGAAUUGUUAUGGAGGUGCGCAAAUUGACAGAGGAAUACGAGUUAGUAUUCACUCACCAUGGGUUAACCACUUGUUAUUUGCUGAUGAUAGCUUGAUAUUUCUAAGUGCCAAAACCCAGAGUGCUACUAGACCCAAUGACAUUCUACGGAUUUAUGUUGACUGCUCGGGUCAAGAUGUCAACCGUGAGAACAGCUCUAUCUUUUUCAGUGGCAAUACAGCAGCACCUCUUCGAGAGGAACUUAAAGAGACUUUGGGAAUUACAGUCGAAGCGUUCUCUGAACGUUAUCUAGGGCUCCCCACUGCUGUCGGCCGCAUCACUAGUGGUUCCUUUGAAUACAUCCUCGAGAGAAGCCGCUGCAAAUUUCGGGGAUGGUCAGAGAGAAAUAUGGCUUGCGCAGCUCGAGAGACUUUGAUCAAGUCGGUCGCUCAAUCAAUACCAACCUUCAGUAUGAGUUGUUUCUUGCUAACAAAGAAGGUGUGUAAGGGCUUGACAUCCUGCAUGGCCAAGUAUUGGUGGGGCAGCUCAAUAGACAAACGAUCCUUGCAUUGGGUGUCUUGGAAGAACCUUGCAACACCAAAAAUUAAGGGCGGGAUGGGUUUCAAAGAUUUGCAUCUUUUUAAUGUAGCUAUGCUUGGGAAGCAAGGCUAG